UACGUAGGCAGCAAGCGUUGUUCGGAGUUACUGGGCGUAAAGGGUGCGUAGGCGGUCCUAUAAGUAUGGUGUGAAAUCUCCCGGCUUAACUGGGAGGGUGCGCUAUAGACUGUGGGACUAGAGUGUGGGAGAGGAAAGUGGAAUUCCUGGUGUAGCGGUGAAAUGCGUAGAUAUCAGGAGGAACACCGGCGGUGUAAACGGCUUUCUGGACCAUAAACUGACGCUGAGGCACGAAAGCGUGGGUAGCAAACAGG
rnacentral:rRNA from 1 species